rnacentral:lncRNA from 1 species
UCUCAUCCACACUACCCAUUGCACCAGGUGUUGGCACCCAUACUCAGCUGUUCUUAGGUCAACAGUUAGAGUAUUUCUGAGUCUUACAUAUUUUCUUGACUUCAUUUUGUUGACUACCUCGUCCAUUGAAAUUUUCUUCCUGCGCACACCUGUAAUCCCAGCACUCUGGGAGGCCAAGACGGGCAGAUCACUUAAGGUCAGGAGUUCGAGACCAGCCUGGCCAACGUGGUGAAACCCCGCCUCUACUCAAAAUAUAAAAAUUAGCCAGGCGUGGUGGCGGGCACCUGUAAUCCCAGCUACUUGGGAGGCUGAGACAGGAGAAUCACUUGAACCCAGGAGGCAGAGGUUGCAGUGAGCCGAGAUUGUGCCACUGCACUGAGCCGAGAUUGUGCUACUGCACUGAUCCAGCCUGAGCAACAUAGCAAGACUGUCUCAAAAAAAGAAAAAAAAAAAUUUUCCCAUUGCUGGUUUUCCCAUUUUCUUUUUGACCUUCCCACCUACCAGUCUUUGUUCCCCCAUCCUUGACCCUCUUCUCCAUGUGGAUACCGUUGAUACACUUUUAGGUUUGAAUAUCACCUUCCUUUUAGAAUGUUCCAUACCUUUAAGCAUUUGAUAAAAGCUAUGGUGGUUUCCCCAGAAAAAUGUUCAACAGGAAGUUUUGCCUACAUUUUUGGAUUCACAGACCUCAGUUCCUAUGGCAGUGUUCAUAUACGUAAGUUCAGCUGUUACGUGUUUACAACUCAAAUCCAAUGGCUACCAGUUUUCCCACUGGACCUCUCUGGAUUUAGCAAUCUCUAAAAUUGUAUUCACUUGAUUCUUAAAAAAAUAAAAAAGCUUAAAUGCAGAUAGGAUGUCACCCUGUUUAAAAUUUCUAGUGGCUGCUCUGGUCAUCAGUUUAAUAAAAAUUCCUUAGCAUGACCAAGAAGGCUCUUCACUACUUAAAAAUAAAGGCUGGGCACGUGGCUCAUGCCUGUAAUCCCAGCACUCUGGGAGGCCAAGGCAGUAGGAUCACUUGAGCCCAGGAAUUCGAAACCAGCCUGGACUACGUAGUGAGACUCCAUUUCUACUAAAAAAAUUAAUGGCUCAUCAUAAUCUAUUCAAAACUACUGAGUUUUAACCAUAAGAAGUCAAUUUUUGAAAACACAAAAGUAUUUUAAGCCUUUACAUUUGCUGUUCAUUUUCCAAAGAUACCCUUCCCAUCAGUAUGGACUCCACUCCUGGUUAUCCUCCAAGACUCAAAUGUCACCACUUUUGUAGAAUCUUCCUUAGCCACCUUCCAGUAGUUUGGUGUGCUUAUUUCUAUCCUAACAAUCAAUUUGGGGGUAUCUUUUAAAAUUGCAGAAAUUGUAUGGAAUUAGAGGAAACAAAGCCACGUUCAAAUUCUUAUAAAAAUUUUAAAGUGAGUGGCUUAAUUUCAUCUGUAAAGUGGGGACACCAUCUACCAUGUAGUUAUUAGAUGUGAAUACCAGAGAAAAUACAUGUAGAAAGUGCUAGUGCCUGCCACAUACUAUGUGCUCAAUAAAACUCAGUGUUUUAUAUGCCUAUCUCCAAUAAAUGGCAGAAAAGACUAACCUGUCUCAGAGUGCCUGGCUCAUAGCAAGUACCAUGUUCAUGUUUCAAAAAACAGAUGAAAGACAACAAGAAAGUCACAUUCUAAAGCUUUUCAAGAAAUAAAGAAGUACAAACAAAGUUUCUUCAUCAUUCUAUUUAUUACAUGUAUGAAUAUUAACAUCUCAUGGUGUCCAUCUAAGUCAAAACCAACAAAAGAAAAAAGUUAACCAUAUCUCAAGCAAACAUUCUUACAGAUUCCCGUUACUUAAAAUAGAAAUAUGUUCAUCUGCAUUAAAUCAUUUGACAAUUUGAAAAAGUCUUUAAAAAAAAAAUCACCUUUAGUACUUAAAUAUAUUUGUUAAUUGUUUGAUGGCAUCAGUGUCCAAGUUCAAGAAUAAAACUUUGCAUCAUUAG